rnacentral:rRNA from 1 species
CCUACGGGAGGCAGCAGUGAGGAAUAUUGGUCAAUGGCCGUAAGGCUGAACCAGCCAAGUCGCGUGAAGGAAGAAGGAUCUAUGGUUUGUAAACUUCUUUUAUAGGGGAAUAAAGGUAUCCACGUGUGGAUAUUUGCAUGUACCCUAUGAAUAAGCAUCGGCUAACUCCGUGCCAGCAGCCGCGGUAAUACGGAGGGGGCGAGCGUUAUCCGGAUUUAUUUGGUUUAAAGGGUGCGUAGGUUGUUUUGUAAGUCAGCGGUGAAAGUUUGUGGCUAAACCAUAAAAUUGCCGUUGAGACUGGGAGACUGGAGUGUGGAUGAGGUAGGCGGAAUGCGUGGUGUAGCGGUGAAAUGCAUAGAUAUCACGCAGAACUCCGAUUGCGAAGGCAGCUUACUAAGCCAUAACUGACGCUGAGGCACGAAAGCGUGGGGAUCAAACAGGAUUAGAUACCCCAGUAGUC